CUGGCGGCGUGCCUAAUACAUGCAAGUCGAACGCACUCUCGUUUAGAUUGAAGGAGCUUGCUCCUGAUUGAUAAACAUUUGAGUGAGUGGCGGACGGGUGAGUAACACGUGGGUAACCUGCCCUAAAGUGGGGGAUAACAUUUGGAAACAGAUGCUAAUACCGCAUAAAACCUAACACCGCAUGGUGUAGGGUUGAAAGAUGGUUUCGGCUAUCACUUUAGGAUGGACCCGCGGUGCAUUAGUUAGUUGGUGAGGUAAAGGCUCACCAAGACCGUGAUGCAUAGCCGACCUGAGAGGGUAAUCGGCCACACUGGGACUGAGACACGGCCCAGACUCCUACGGGAGGCAGCAGUAGGGAAUCUUCCACAAUGGACGAAAGUCUGAUGGAGCAACGCCGCGUGAGUGAAGAAGGUUUUCGGAUCGUAAAACUCUGUUGUUGGAGAAGAAUGUAUCUGAUAGUAACUGAUCAGGUAGUGACGGUAUCCAACCAGAAAGCCACGGCUAACUACAUG
rnacentral:rRNA from 1 species